rnacentral:rRNA from 1 species
UACGAAGGGGGCUAGCGUUGCUCGGAAUCACUGGGCGUAAAGCGCACGUAGGCGGAUCGUUAAGUCAGGGGUGAAAUCCUGGAGCUCAACUCCAGAACUGCCUUUAAGACUGCAUCGCUUGAAUCCAGGAGAGGUGAGUGGAAUUCCGAGUGUAGAGGUGAAAUUCGUAGAUAUUCGGAAGAACACCAGUGGCGAAGGCGGCUCACUGGACUGGUAUUGACGCUGAGGUGCGAAAGCGUGGGGAGCAAACAGG